CAUAGCAUGAAGUCAAACAAGAGA
rnacentral:rRNA from 2 species